AUUGAACGCUGGCGGCAGGCCUAACACAUGCAAGUCGAGCGGUAGAGAGGUGCUUGCAUCUCUUGAGAGCGGCGGACGGGUGAGUAAUGCCUAGGAAUCUGCCUGGUGGUGGGGGAUAACGUUCGGAAACGGACGCUAAUACCGCAUACGUCCUACGGGAGAAAGCGGGGGAGUCUUCGGACCUCGCGCCAUUAGAUGAGCCUAGGUCGGAUUAGCUAGUUGGUGAGGUAAUGGCUCACCAAGGCGACGAUCCGUAACUGGUCUGAGAGGAUGAUCAGUCACACUGGAACUGAGACACGGUCCAGACUCCUACGGGAGGCAGCAGUGGGGAAUAUUGGACAAUGGGCGAAAGCCUGAUCCAGCCAUGCCGCGUGUGUGAAGAAGGUCUUCGGAUUGUAAAGCACUUUAAGUUGGGAGGAAGGGUAGGUAACCUAAUACGUUGCUACUUUGACGUUACCGACAGAAUAAGCACCGGCUAACUUCGUGCCA
rnacentral:rRNA from 1 species